UACGUAGGGUGCGAGCGUUGCCCGGAUUUAUUGGGCGUAAAGGGCGCGCAGGCGGCUACGCACGUCCGUUGUGAAAUCGCUCGGCUCAACUGGGCGGGGUCAGCGGAUACGGCGUGGCUGGAGCAAGCUAGGGGGCAAUGGAAUUCCCGGUGUAGUGGUGGAAUGCGUAGAUAUCGGGAGGAACACCAGUGGCGAAGGCGGUUGCCUGGAGCUUUGCUGACGCUGAGGCGCGAAGGCGUGGGGAGCGAUCCGG
rnacentral:rRNA from 1 species